rnacentral:lncRNA from 1 species
UCAGCCAGAGUUUUCACUGUAUUAUUUGCACCAGUGUUCUCAAAGAUGCAGUCAUGUGUUCUGAAAAUGAACAUUUGUUCUGUCGGGCUUGUAUCACCAGACAUCUCAUGAACUUUCAAACAUGCCCGACAUGCAUGGAACCACUCACUGUCGAGACACUAAGCCAAGCACCUCGGGGCAUAAGAAACUUGCUGGCCGAAUUGAAAAUUCGAUGUGAAUUCUUCGAUCGUGGUUGUGGAAAGUUUAUUGAGCUGGGAGAUCUUGAAAGGCAUGUCACAGAAUGCGGUUUCGCCCCAGCAGUCUGCUCUAACGAAGGAUGUCAACUUGAGGUGAAUAAACAAGAUUUACUUCAUCAUGAAACUUCUGUGUGUGAACUACGCAGGGUUCAAUGCCACAGCUGCAACGA